UACAGAGGUCUCAAGCGUUGUUCGGAUUCAUUGGGCCUAAAGGGUGCGUAGGCGGCGCGGUAAGUCGGGUGUGAAAUCUCGGAGCUUAACUCCGAAACUGCAUUCGAUACUGCCGUGCUUGAGGACUGGAGAGGAGACUGGAAUUUACGGUGUAGCGGUGAAAUGCGUAGAUAUCGUAAGGAAGACCAGUGGCGAAGGCGGGUCUCUGGACAGUUCCUGACGCUGAGGCACGAAGGUCAGGGGAGCAAACGGG
rnacentral:rRNA from 1 species